UCAUACUUCUUCCUUCCUUCAUAUCUCCAUAUCUCCCUUCUCAGGCUCUAGGGCUUGAGAGGGUGGUAACGGCUUGUGACAACUACUCCACCGAAAAAAUCUUUCAGUACCAGUAACCGACUCCGCCAAAAUCCACAACGAUGUAUGGUUGGAUGGGACAGAGAAGCCACUCCUUGCUGCAUCCAACCGGCCUCACAACCACAGACCACGUGUAACCACGCCAGCCCAGGACCUCCACAUCCAGCUUCUUCACCUGUGGGAUCGUCUGAGACCAGCCACCAGGACAGCUGAUGAAAUUGAGGAGUAUUUCUGUGUGUAAUAAAUCCCUUUUGUGUGGAAAACUCAUUCUGAUUGGCUGGGCCUGGCUCCCACUGGUUGAAUCAAUGUUGUUUCCACAUCAUUUCAAUUAAAUUACGUUGAACCAACAUGGAAUAGACAUUAAAUUGACGUCUGUGUCCUGUGAGCUGGUAGUAGUAGUUGGUUAGACAAUUUGACCAUUGGAAAAAGAGCUACUGCAUAAAUACUGCAAUGCGGGUUUUAUUGAAUUGAGUCCAAAGUGUUAAUGAAAUUAUAAUUAUUAUAAACUCGGUUUAGGGUGGGGACGGUUUGAAUUCCCCAAGCAAUCAACCUAACCUGGCUCUUACAUAUUGUCCACAAGACAAACUUACACCCCUUCCCUCACUUCCUUACUUAGGCAGGGAUUUAAGUUGCCCUUUUCUGCAAUUAAAUGACCGAGUGGCCUCAUGGGUGGAAUGUUAUUAAUAUUUUAAUAAUUUCAUAAUUAAUCAACUUUUCUUUUUUUUUUUUACACAGAAAAUCUGGUGUUUCUAUGUCAAACGGUUUUGUUAUAUUUCAGUCUUCUGUGAUGCACAGUAUAUAAAGUGUAAUGUUGGAAUGCAAACUCCAAUUGAAUACAUUUAAAUUCUAUAUCUGACAUGUUACAGGUAUCUUCUUUUUUUUGUGAGGUAUAUACUUUUUGUUCAAAGUAGAUUUGUUUAAGACUACCAAGAAACACUGUGUGGCCGAUUUUGCCCACUGCAGUAAAUGGAUUAAAGGUGCGUUGUUGACAAGCGCAUUGCACUGUCGACAAUGCACCUCUUAAAGGCAAUGUUCUCGAAGCUUGUGGAGAUUACAUUCAUUGUAAACACUGUAGAUUUUCGGGUUUAAGUUUAAAUAAAAGGUUUGCGCAGGACUGAUUUCUUCAUCCCACUCCUGCUGCUUUUGCACGCUC